UGUCUGUUUUACAGCUCCGCUAAAUGACUGAUGAUAUAGUGGGAGGAGGCUCCAUAUUUAUGGGUGUUAUCUUGGACAGAAGAUGCUGUCCACACAGGAAACAAUAAGGAUAUGCUACCUUGAACUCACCAAAGGGGAUCAUCUCAUCAUCCAAUUAAGAUGGGAUUUGACCAACAAAACAUUACCUCCACCAAAACCAACAUGCAUCCAGAAGCCACCCCUAAAUAUAGGAUGUUCUGGAGGCUGUGAGAAGAUCCAGCAUUUCAAAAGCAACUUUUACCUGAACUAGAUGAAUCGGAACUCGGCACGCUCACAGGACUCCGGUAUUCAUUGUUGCAACCUGAAACCUAUGCAAUACAUAAGAAAAAGACGUGCCUGGAGAAAUCCAUCUUGCCAUGAACUUUUGGACUUUGAAGUUCUUCACAUGCCUGAUGAAGUGGAUGGUCCUGAUCUACAAAAGUUUGCAGUUUGUAUGAUGCUUUUUCAAGUGGUCUAUAAAGGUAUUGCCGACUUUUAAAUCUGUGUUUUGUAUUGACCACAUGGCUCCCUUUUAUUUCAAUAGAAUUAUGAGGAUACCUCACAGAGCCCAAUUGUAAUAAUUCAGCCAGCUCUCCAAUUUAAAACUGUGACUAAAUGCAGAAGUGGCCGCUUCAAUAUCAAGCCAGCUUUUCCUCCCACCUUCCACUCUGCUUGAUGUCCAGCCCGAUGAAGCGUUCUGGAGAACUCUAAACCUUUCUCCUUAUCUGGCAACAUUCUGAUCUGUCCUAACCAAAGCAUGGCUGCCUUGACCAACCAUGCAUUUUGGAAUAUAUGUGGACAUUUACUGUUUCCUUGAUUGCUGCUCUCCCCCCUUUUUUCACAUCCUACACUCAAUUUGGGUUCUUGUAGGCAGAAACCUGCAUUUUGCUUUCUGUGGCUCUGUAAAACGUAUAUACAGGGAGCAUAAUAAAGAAGAAAGGCAACAGCAAACAAUAACAAAACAAUAAUUAUACUCAGGGACACUGUGGGCUAUUCAUUCCUUCCCUCCUCUCCACUUCUCUGAAUCCCAGGUAUUUAAAUUUGUAUUAGGGCUCUGGGCCUGGAGCAGUGGAGUUCCUCUGAGCAUAUCCAAAGCAUUUUCUCCCACCACUAAGGAAUCGCCACAGAUCUCCGUUUUGGAGGAGGUGGGGGCAGAGCUUUAACACCGGAGCUCAAGGCCUACACAUCCAAGCUUAU